AUUGAACGCUGGCGGCAGGCCUAACACAUGCAAGUCGAGCGGAUGAAGAGAGCUUGCUCUCUGAUUUAGCGGCGGACGGGUGAGUAAUGCCUAGGAAUCUGCCUGGUAGUGGGGGAUAACGUCCGGAAACGGGCGCUAAUACCGCAUACGUCCUACGGGAGAAAGCAGGGGACCUUCGGGCCUUGCGCUAUCAGAUGAGCCUAGGUCGGAUUAGCUAGUUGGUGAGGUAAUGGCUCACCAAGGCUACGAUCCGUAACUGGUCUGAGAGGAUGAUCAGUCACACUGGAACUGAGACACGGUCCAGACUCCUACGGGAGGCAGCAGUGGGGAAUAUUGGACAAUGGGCGAAAGCCUGAUCCAGCCAUGCCGCGUGUGUGAAGAAGGUCUUCGGAUUGUAAAGCACUUUAAGUUGGGAGGAAGGGCAGUAAGUUAAUACCUUGCUGUUUUGACGUUACCGACAGAAUAAGCACCGGCUAACUUCGUGCCAGCCGCCGCAGUAAUAC
rnacentral:rRNA from 1 species